rfam:Crassostrea gigas strain 05x7-T-G4-1.051#20 contig6984, whole genome shotgun sequence.
CACCAGAUAGCUCAAUUGGUAGAGCACCUGACUAGGGAUUCAGAGGGCCUGGGAUUGAAUCCCAGUCUAGUUA